UUGACAGCAUAUGCUUAAGUUGGUGCAGCUGUUAUUGACUCAACCAUAUUUGAUUAAAAGUGGUUGAAUUUCUUGGCAAUAAAUGAUUUUGAACUUGAAGGGUAGUUAGAACUAAGAAAGUUGCCAUGUGAUUGGUUUUUAACAGAUAGAUAGAUAUCCUAACAAGUGAACUCAAUCAAUUCCUUUCUACUAACCACCAUAAUAAAUAUGAUUGGUUACAAGUAACAGAUAUACUUCCUCUAGUCUUGAACAUAACCAAUAAAAAACUCAUAUAUUUUUGUGCUUAACUAAUUCUACUUUAUGUGUUUCUCCAUAUAUAUCAUGGCAAAUGCUGCUAUAUGAAUCAGAUUCAAGUUCAACUCUUCCCAAAAGAUAAUGGUGUCUGCACUAGAACAGCAGCAGACAGCACAAAAUGAUCGUGCUCGUACCCUCCGCGAAGAAAAAGGAAGCAUCCAUGCUUUUUUCUAUACACUCUGUUGCUGCUUUUGCUGCUAUGAUAGUUGCCGGUGCUGCUGUGGACGCACCUGCUGUUGCUGUCCCUAGAUUGCUUAAUCUCCAAGAUACCUAUGCCAAGUUUAUGUUUCAUUGCUUUUUUUUGUGUACGAAAUGAUGAUUUUCGGAGCCAUUACAGAAUCAUCUCUGAAAACAUCGAUACAUUUAUUUUGUCUCGCAUCAUGAUUUUUCGUCGGUGUAUCAAUAACAAGAAAUCAAAGUUUCUAUUUCAAUAAA